rnacentral:lncRNA from 1 species
GAAAUGGAUGCCAGGGGAUGUUUAGGGCCUGCCUCCUUUGCCUCCCCCGUUUCUCCUUAGCAUGGGGGGGAGGGGUUGCUUUGAAACCCGGAAGCACUUCAUGGCCCGCCGGAACACACCGCGGGUCACGUGGGGGCGGUGCCUGGCCGGCGCGUGACCCGGCGUCCGUUCCGCAGGUCUCCGGCCCGGGGUCACCCAGCAUGCUGCGUGCACGUGGCAGCUGAUGUCCUAAAUAGGAGCGAGCGGUCGUGGGCUGCUCUCCUGGGAGGGUGGAGCUGAGCUGCCAGCACAGAGCAACCCGCCCAAGGCCGGAGCUGACCAGCAGCACACUGAGAGCAACUGCGCUACGCCGGGGGCAAAGAACGGAGGCUGUGUACGCCACAGGGCUGUCUGUCUGUCUCUUCCUUUGCAGACCCAGGACUGGGAGACCGGGCAGAGACACAGUGAUUUCAGGCUGCAGAUGUUCAAGUCCGGGUUACUGGCUCCACUACUGCUUUAAGAGCUUGAGGUGGGAUCGCCCUGGGUUCCUUACACAUCUGCUGUUCCUUAAAUAAGUUUCCACACAAUCACAAGGCCGGAGAAGUUGGCCCAUAAUAACUGGACUGGCCCACGUGGCAUGAACAAUUGACAGGCAUCACCAAUUGUUCUCUGCCUCUUAAGAACCACUGACCUGAUAGCGAAGUCUAAGUCUAAGAAACCCAGACCUCAGUCCAAUUUUAUAUGGCAGCACUUACGGAGCCUGUCCUUCAGCUUAAAAGAAGUGGCAAAAGGUUACACGUUGGAGUAUUUUUAAUUUUCCUCUUUAAAAGAAAAAUGUGUGUGUGUACGUGUGGCCUGAGGAGAGGUAGAAGGGGUAGGGGAUGGAUUAAGAGUGUUUGGUACCAGAAUUCAGUUUCCAACACCCAUGUCAGACAGUUCACAACUGUCUGUAAUAUUAGUUCCAAUAGACUUGAUGACUGUUCUGCCCUCUGUGGACACUCAGGUACUCGUAGUACAUAGACACAUAAAAUUAUGUCCUGUGUAGGCACUGUGCCGGGUACUGUCAUUCCCUAGCCUGUUUCCAAUUAGUGUUUUAAGAUCCUUGGGGACGCCCCCCCCCCAAUAGGGUUUCUCUGUAUUGCUUUGGAGGUUGUCCUGGAACUUGCUCUGUAGAUCAGGCUGGUCUCAAACUCACAGAGAUCCGCCUGCCUCUGCCUCCUGAGUGCUGGGAUUAAAGGCAUGAGCCAUCAAUGCCCUGCGAGUUUCAUGUAUUCCUUGUUAUCCUGAACUCACUAUAUAGCAAGGGAUGAACUUGAACUUCUGAUGCUUCUCUUACUGGGAUUUCAGGUGUGCGGCAACACCCUUGACGUGUUUUGGUGCUGAGCUCCUGAGACAGCUCUUCUGUUGAGGCUGCCUCUUCCCAGGUGAUUCUAAAUUGAUAAAACUGACCAGGCUACAUAUACAACUGUGCACUACAUAUUUAUGUCAAGCAGUAUACUCAGUGUUAACAAUUAUGAAAUCAAAAUAUUAUGGAAAAAUAUUGAAGAGGGUCUACAUUGUAAACUAUCAAAUAUCCAGCCAAG